GUGUUGUAUGAAAGGAGAGAAGGUUAGCAUUCCCCUUGACAAGGAUGGAAGAGGCUCUCGGGCCUGUACAACACGCAUACGGUAGAAAAUAUUCUUUUUUUUUUU
rnacentral:ncRNA from 1 species